UGCCCAGCAACUCCUAUCCCUACCUCCUCGUGGUACCGGCCGGAAACUAUGAGCAACCUUAGGGAAGAUCGGGUAAUCAACCCCGAUGGGAACUUUGGUCGUAGGCUGACAGGGAAGG
rnacentral:ribozyme from 1 species